rnacentral:tRNA from 1 species
UAGCAUAGUGGUUAAGCACUUGGCUGCUAACCAAAAGGUCGGUGGUUCGACCCUACC